rnacentral:rRNA from 1 species
GGGAGGUCGGCAACGACCACCUGGGGCCGGAAAGCUAUCCAAACUCGGUCAUUUAGAGGAAGUAAAAGUCGUAACAAGGUCUCCGUUGGUGAACCAGCGGAGGGAUCAUUA